CCCGCGGCUGUCACCGGACGGCUCCACGACUGCCCCGGCCCCGGCGCUGCUUUGGUCAGAUGGACAAUUUAGUAACCUUAUAUCAUGGAGGAAGUGUGGAGAAAGAUCAGUUUGGCAAUGUUGAUUUUGUUGGAAUGCAAACGGUCCCUUUGAUGUUU